rnacentral:rRNA from 1 species
GAUGAACGCUGGCGGCGUGCCUAAUACAUGCAAGUCGAGCGAACGGACGAGAAGCUUGCUUCUCUGUUGUUAGCGGCGGACGGGUGAGUAACACGUGGAUAACCUACCUAUAAGACUGGGAUAACUUCGGGAAACCGGAGCUAAUACCGGAUAAUAUUUUGAACCGCAUGGUUCAAAAGUGAAAUACGGUCUUGCUGUCACUUAUAGAUGGAUCCGCGCUGCAUUAGCUAGUUGGUAAGGUAACGGCUUACCACGGCAAGCAUGCGUAGCCGACCUGAGAGGGUGUUCGGCCACACUAGAACUGAGACACGGUCCAGACUCCUACGAGAGGCAGCAGUAGGGAAUCUUCCGCAAUGGGCGAAAGCCUGACGGAGCAACGCCGCGUGAGUGAUGAAGAUCUUCGGAUCGUAAAACUCUGUUAUUAGGGAAGAACAUAUGUGUAAGUAACUGUGCACAUCUUGACGGUACCGAAUCAGAAAGCCACGGCUAACUACGUG